rnacentral:rRNA from 1 species
GACAGAGGGUGCAAACGUUGUUCGGAAUUACUGGGCGUAAAGCGCGUGUAGGCGGCUCGGCAAGUCGGGUGUGAAAGCCCUGGGCUCAACCCAGGAAGUGCAUUCGAAACUGCCGAGCUGGAGUCCCGGAGAGGAAGGCGGAAUUCUCGGUGUAGAGGUGAAAUUCGUAGAUAUCGAGAGGAACGACCGGUGGCGAAGGCGGCCUUCUGG